rnacentral:rRNA from 1 species
GGACGAAAGUCUGACCGAGCAACGCCGCGUGAGUGAAGAAGGUUUUCGGAUCGUAAAACUCUGUUGUUAGAGAAGAACAAGGAUGAGAGUAACUGUUCAUCCCUUGACGGUAUCUAACCAGAAAGCCACGGCUAACUACGUGCCAGCAGCCGCGGUAAUACGUAGGUGGCAAGCGUUGUCCGGAUUUAUUGGGCGUAAAGCGAGCGCAGGCGGUUUCUUAAGUCUGAUGUGAAAGCCCCCGGCUCAACCGGGGAGGGUCAUUGGAAACUGGGAGACUUGAGUGCAGAAGAGGAGAGUGGAAUUCCAUGUGUAGCGGUGAAAUGCGUAGAUAUAUGGAGGAACACCAGUGGCGAAGGCGGCUCUCUGGUCUGUAACUGACGCUGAGGCUCGAAAGCGUGGGGAGCAAACAGGAUUAGAUACCCUGGUAGUCCACGCCGUAAACGAUGAGUGCUAAGUGUUGGAGGGUUUCCGCCCUUCAGUGCUGCAGCUAACGCAUUAAGCACUCCGCCUGGGGAGUACGACCGCAAGGUUGAAACUCAAAGGAAUUGACGGGGGCCCGCACAAGCGGUGGAGCAUGUGGUUUAAUUCGAAGCAACGCGAAGAACCUUACCAGGUCUUGACAUCCUUUGACCACUCUAGAGAUAGAGCUUCCCCUUCGGGGGCAAAGUGACAGGUGGUGCAUGGUUGUCGUCAGCUCGUGUCGUGAGCUGUUGGGUUAAGUCCCGCAACGAGCGCAACCCUUAUUGUUAGUUGCCAUCAUUCAGUUGGGCACUCUAGCAAGACUGCCGGUGACAAACCGGAGGAAGGUGGGGAUGACGUCAAAUCAUCAUGCCCCUUAUGACCUGGGCUACACACGUGCUACAAUGGGAAGUACAACGAGUCGCGAAGUCGCGAGGCUAAGCUAAUCUCUUAAAGCUUCUCUCAGUUCGGAUUGUAGGCUGCAACUCGCCUACAUGAAGCCGGAAUCGCUAGUAAUCGCGGAUCAGCACGCCGCGGUGAAUACGUUCCCGGGCCUUGUACACACCGCCCGUCACACCACGAGAGUUUGUAACACCCGAAGUCGGUGAGGUAACCUUUUGGAGCCAGCCGCCUAAGGUGGGAUAGAUGAUUGGGGUGAAGUCGUAACAAGGUAGCCGUCG